UGACGCUCAUGGACGAAAGCCAGGGGAGCGAAAGGGAUUAGAUACCCCUGUAGUCCUGGCCGUAAACGAUGAACACUAGGCGUCGGGGGAAUCGACCCCCUCGGUGUCGUAGCCAACGCGUUAAGUGUUCCGCCUGGGGAGUACGCACGCAAGUGUGAAACUCAAAGGAAUUGACGGGGGCCCGCACAAGCGGUGGAGUAUGUGGUUUAAUUCGAUGCAACGCGAAGAACCUUACCAGGGUUUGACAUCCUGCGAAUCUCUUGGAAACGAGAGAGUGCCUUCGGGAACGCAGUGACAGGUGGUGCAUGGCUGUCGUCAGCUCGUGUCGUGAGAUGUUGGGUUAAGUCCCGCAACGAGCGCAACCCACGUCUUUAGUUGCCAGCAUUUAGUUGGGCACUCUAGAGAGACCGCCGGUGAUAAACCGGAGGAAGGUGUGGAUGACGUCAAGUCAUCAUGCCCCUUACAUCCUGGGCUACACACGUACUACAAUGCUACGGACAAAGGGCAGCAAACUCGCGAGAGCAAGCAAAUCCCAUAAACCGUGGCUCAGUUCAGAUCGUAGGCUGCAACUCGCCUACGUGAAGGAGGAAUCGCUAGUAAUCGCAGGCCAGCAUACUGCGGUGAAUACGUUCCCGGGCCUUGUACACACCGCCCGUCACACCAUGGAAGUUAGCCACGCCCGAAGUCGUUACUCCAACCCUUGUGGAGGAGGACGCCGAAGGUGGGGCUGAUGACUGGGGUGAAGUCGUAACAAGGUAACCGUA
rnacentral:rRNA from 1 species